ACUACAAACUAUCAAUCUGUAUUAGAAAUCCAGUAUUCAUCCAGCUAUACUCAACAGUCACAGGUGUCUGGAUAUAACCUUGGGUAUUUGUAGGGAUAUAGCAAAGGACUUCAAUCAAAGUCAGAGCAGUGAUGGGCAGCAUGUACUUAAAUUCAGAAAUCACAUAAUUCAAGCUUUCAAAUACUGAUUGUUCCUCAGAUCCAUGUUUUUUGUGCCAGGCAUCGCAACAAUAGAAGUUCGUUAAAAAACUGCUUUCAACUGAUCCAUUGUAUCCUUUGACUUGUCAAACUGAAAUAAAAACGUACCUUGUAUCCUUUAACCUCCUUUUUCUUCUUCUUUCUUCUUUCUUUUACCAAAGUCUAUGAGUUUCACAUCAAGCCAGUGAUCUGUUUGUGGGCCUCAAUGCCCCAGCAGCCCAGUUACCUGCCCCAGCAGCCACAGAUGCCCCAGGUGUUCCACCCCAGCAGCAGCCUCAGCCGCAGUUGCCCCAGGUGCCUAGCUAUUUGCCCAAGCAGCUUCAGCGGAUGCCCCAGGUGCCUAGCUACCUGCCCAAGCAGCCUCAGCAGUAGCCGCAGAUGCCUCAGGUGCCUAGCUCCCCACCCAAGCAGCAGCAGCCCCAGGUGCCUCAGCAGCUGCAGAUGCCCCAGGUGCCAAGCCACCCGCCCAAGCAGCAGCAGCUGCAGAUGUCUAGCUACCUGCCCAAGCAGCAGCAGCAGCAGCCCCAGGUGCCUCAGCAGUCUCAGAUGCCCCAGGUGCCUAACUACCCGCCAAAGAAGCAGAAGCCCCAGGUGCCUCAGCAGUCAUAGAUGCUUCAGGUGCCUAGCUACCCGCCAAAGCAGCAGAAGCCCCAGGUGCCUCAGCAGUCAUAGAUGCUUCAGGUGCCUAGCUACCUGCCCAAGAGGCCUCAGCAACAGCUGCCCAAGCAGCCUCAGCCACAGGUGCCUAGCUACCCGCCCAACUAGCCCCGGCCAAAUGGCUUCAAACAGAUAUGACACAACUGGAGUUUAUGGUAACAACCUUGGGUAUUGGUCUGGGCAUGGCUAUGGACUUCAAUCAAAUCCAGAGCAGCCACCACAAUAACAGAGGUUCUUCAAAGACUGCUUUCAACUGAGCCAUUGUAUUGACUUGUCAAAAUAAACCUUGUAUCUUUAGUCUUUUUUUUUUCCUCUUGUGGUCGGUAAAUUUAAAUUCAAUUUGGCUUGUGGGCAACAGUUAAUGUUGCAAUUUGCUUCUAUCAUAUCUAUCUGGUUGACCAAGGUUUCUGGCAUCAUGACUUGUGUGCCAGAUGGAAGUUCUGCAGCUUUUCUAACAGCCCAUUUCAUGCCAACUUUGAAGCACAUGUUUGAAUCUUGCAAAUCACAUGGCUUAUAGGCCAACAUGUGGUAUUUAUCAGGACAAAGCUAUUAGGUAAACUUUACAGCACCAUUGACUGAACUCAAGGGAUAUUGUUGUACCUUGCUGUCAGGUAUAAUGUGUUGCCACACAUUUCAUUUACCAUUUCACAUUUGUUUCUCAAAACAAACAUGCAGAACAUACCAUAAGC